UCCUGGCUAGUCACCUGGUGAGGUGUCUGGGGUCUGGAGGGCUGUUUUCCUCUGUUUUCCUGGCUAGUCACCUGGUGAGGUGUUCUGGGGUCUGGAGGUCUGUUUUCCUGGCUAGUCACCUGGUGAGGUGUUCUGGGGUCUGGAGGGCUGUUUUCCUGUUUUCUGCUAGUCACCUGGUGAUGUGUUCUGGGGUCUGGAGGGCUGUUUUCCUGGAUGGUCACCUGGUGAGGUGUUCUGGGGUCUGGAGGGCUGUUUUCCCCUCUAGUCACCUGGUGAGGUGUUCUGGGGUCUGGAGGGCUGUUUUCCUGGCUAGUCACCUGGUGAGGUGUUCUGGGGUCUGGAGGGCUGUUUUCCUGGCUGGUCACCUGGUGAGGUGUUCUGGGGUCUGGAGGGCUGUUUUCCUGGAUGGUCACCUGGUGAGGUGUUCUGGGGUCUGGAGGGCUGUUUUCCUGGCUAGUCACCUGGUGAGGUGUUCUGGGGUCUGGAGGGCUGUUUUCCCCUGGCUAGUCACCUGGUGAUGUGUUCUGGGGUCUGGAGGUCUGUUUUCCUGACUAGUCACCUGGUGAGGUGUUCUGGGGUCUGGAGGGCUGUUUCACCUCUGUUUUCUGACUAGUCACCUGGUGAGGUGUUCUGGGGUCUGGAGGGCUGUUUUCCUGGCUAGUCACCUGGUGAGGUGUUCUGGGGUCUGGAGGGCUGUUUUCCCCUCUAGUCACCUGGUGAGGUGUUCUGGGGUCUGGAGGGCUGUUUUCCUGACUAGUCACCUGGUGAGGUGUCCUGGGGUCUGGAGGG